GAGCCCGUGGCUCAAUGGUAGAGCGUUCGACUCAAAUACCAAAGGUCACGGGUUCGAAUCCCAGGUUUG
rfam:Schistocephalus solidus strain NST_G2 genome assembly, scaffold: SSLN_scaffold0005575